GGGCCAUAGCUCAGUUGGGAGAGCGCUGGCUUUGCAAGCCAGAGGUCGCCGGUUCGAUCCCGGCUGGCUCC
rnacentral:tRNA from 1 species